GUCAUUAAUUCAGGAAAAAAGUUUUGCCGGUGGGUUUGCCAUAAUCCACUAUGUACGGUUCAAUUUUGAUGGUAAAUUUAAUAAACCAAUCAAAACCAAUGUGCUUACACAGAAAAGUUCUAUUUCUGCCGAGCAAGAACACAUAAGAAUUAUUCUUUUUACGAUAUAUGUUGUUUCUACUUCUUAUUGCGUUUCAACCAAUUAAUAUUUCUUAAUUAAUAGUGUAACUGACCAAAAAAUAUCACAAUACUAAAAGGGAGAUAAUCUCAACAGAUAGAUGGUCCACGUAGAUUAGAAAAAUUAUCCAAUAAGGACCUUUCUUUUUGACGUGUCAUAUAUGGCUGAAAUAUAGUGCAUUUUUGUAUGGGUUUUAUGAAAAUUAUCACUCUGACCCAUCCCAGCCCAUGUAGAGAACAGACGGAGAAACCUUUUAUCGUUUCACGCUUUCUCCUCCGACUCUUCCACUUCAUCUUCUCCGAUGUAUAGAUUUGUUUGCUUUGCCAAACUUUAUCAGUUCUAUCCACUUCCCCUUGAUCCUUCUCCUAUAUAAAUCUCUAUGUACAAACCUAAAUCCACCCAAAAUCAAAACCUACUCUGAAGAAGUUACAUCCAUUGACACUUUAGUCUAAACCUAUCUGCACGAUCUCUACUUCUACUCUGCGACCGUCAAAUUGAAAAUGCAAUUCCUCCGGUAAAAGCUCAGUCACGGUCGUAGUUCCGUCACCGCUGAAUCAUCAUCAUCCAGGUUCUUACCUUGUGACGUCUCUCACCUUUGUCGAUCCAUCGAGAAUCUACUGUAAAAAAAAUCAGUUCCCGUUGAUGGAGAGAUCGUGAAGAAGGUUGGUCAAUCUGUUUCCUGUAAUCAAAAAAGUGAUUGGUCUUCUGAAGAACUAUGCUUUUGUGUGCGAGCACAACGAGUGUUUGGGAAUAGAUGGACUGAGAUACAAAGGUGGAUUCAGGCAGAAAGGAUAAGGCUGUGAACAGGUUUACGAGACUUCGUGUGAAGAGAGCCAAGCAUGAAACUAUGGCUAGCGAGAACAACUCAAACAAUAAAAUAAUGUUCUUCUUAGAUGGUAGUUGUACUCCAGCGAAUAUGAAACUCUUAUUGCCAAUAGAACAAGGAUCUAGCUCCAUGUAAGUUCUUCUCUUCCAGGAUAGCUGCCUUACAUUACACGUUAUGUCUCCACAGUGAGUUAUUUAUGAGCAUCACAAGGUGGAAACUUUCCUCACUCCCUCAUGAGUGACUGGAGGACAAUCUAAAACUAUUAGACUAGACAAGCGAAAGUUAACAAUCCUCUUUGACAACCCCAACAUCUGAAAAUGGAAGGAAAAAGCCUUUUGCUAGAUCCUUUUUAUGCAGAAGGAAUCGUCCGUCAGAAAAUGGAUCGAAACGGUGGCUAUUGAUGCAGCCAAAGACAUGGUACUGUCAAAGGAACAAUGGAUGUUAAAGAACUUGUGCUUUUACUGGCCAAAAACUCAAUGAACCAUCAAUCUCUUCUUCUGGUCAAAGACUGUGCCACCCCUCCCGCCUUAAAGAAAGAAGUCUUGGCUGCAGGAGAAAGAGACAAAGAAGGAAGGGAAGUUGGAGAGAAGAAAACAGAGGGUGGCUAGAAGAAGAAAGAAGUUGUUGACGGCAGAGAAGAGAGAAAACGAAAGAUGUUGGAGCUGGCAGGAAGAAGAAGAAAGAAGCCAGGCGUGGUGAGAAGAAGUGGGGUCAAAUCAUUGUCACACGUAAGAUUAUAAGUUCAUACAAGUAUAUGCAUUGUCUUAAAUUUUUCUGACGGACAUCUCUAUAACUAUAAUUUUCAACUACUACCAAAAUAAAACUUGGAAGGAACGAGAAAUAUUGUAUACACUCUAAUCUAAUAAAGUUAUAACUAUUAUUCUUAA